CAAGUCCUGGAGAAACAGCAGUGGAUUCCCCUGCCUUACUUCACCCCUAAACUGGUCUCCUGCAUGUGUCUCUCACAUAAGGAGCUCUGAUUGCUCUCCUUCUCUUCUGUUGAGAACAUCCAAGGAAAUGGCAUUCAGAAGAGAGUUAAAGAAGGAGGAGAACAAAGGAGCACAGGACUUGGUGUACACAGGAAAAUUUUGGUCUCACAGCUCUGUUGAGACUAUAUUGUCUUCUAGAAUCAUAACUGUGCUGGCAAAAUUUCUACUUCAUAUGCG